UACAGAGGUCUCAAGCGUUGUUCGGAUUCAUUGGGCGUAAAGGGUGCGUAGGCGGCGCGGUAAGUCGGGUGUGAAAUCUCGGAGCUUAACUCCGAAACUGCAUUCGAUACUGCCGUGCUUGAGGACUGGAGAGGAGACUGGAAUUUACGGUGUAGCGGUGAAAUGCGUAGAUAUCGUAAGGAAGACCAGUGGCGAAGGCGGGUCUCUGGACAAUUCCUGACGCUGAGGCACGAAAGCUAGGGGAGCAAACAGG
rnacentral:rRNA from 1 species